ACGUAGGGUGCGAGCGUUAAUCGGAAUUACUGGGCGUAAAGCGCGCGCAGGCGGUGAUGUAAGACAGAUGUGAAAUCCCCGGGCUCAACCUGGGAACUGCAUUUGUGACUGCAUCGCUGGAGUGCGGCAGAGGGGGAUGGAAUUCCGCGUGUAGCAGUGAAAUGCGUAGAGAUGCGGAGGAACACCAGUGGCGAAGGCGGCCUUCUGGACCAGUACUGACGCUCAUGCACGAAAGCGUGGUGAGCAAACAGGA
rnacentral:rRNA from 1 species